CCUACGUGGUGCAGCAGUGGGGAAUAUUGCGCAAUGGGCGAAAGCCUGACGCAGCGACGCCGCGUGAGGGAUGAAGGUCUUCGGAUCGUAAACCUCUGUCAGCAGGGAAGAACGGUCACUGUGCUAAUCAGCAGUGAAUUGACGGUACCUGCAAAGGAAGCACCGGCUAACUCCGUGCCAGCAGCCGCGGUAAUACGGAGGGUGCGAGCGUUAAUCGGAAUUACUGGGCGUAAAGCGCUCGUAGGCGGUAUGGCAAGGCAAGGGUGAAAUCCCCGCGCUCAACGUGGGAACUGCCUUUGAAACUGGCAAACGUGAGUGUGUGAGAGGAUAGUGGAAUUCCAGGGGUAGGAGUGAAAUCCGUAGAUAUCUGGAGGAACAUCAGUGGCGAAGGCGACUAUCUGGCACAUAACUGACGCUGAGGAGCGAAAGCGUGGGUAGCAAACAGGAUUAGAUACCCGAGUAGUC
rnacentral:rRNA from 1 species